GGCAAGGUGGCCGAGCGGUCUAAGGUUAGUUCCCCGCUUAUCAGGCAGCCUUGAAGCUCAAACUAACCAAUAAUAGGCGCUGGAUUCAAGAGAUUUCCUCUUUCGGAAUUUCCAAUUCCGUCCACUUCCCAGUACGCGUAGCGUGCGCGAGUUCGAAUCUCGCCCUUGUCA